rnacentral:rRNA from 1 species
UACGAAGGGGGCUAGCGUUGUUCGGAAUUACUGGGCGUAAAGCGCACGUAGGCGGGUUAUUAAGUCAGGGGUGAAAUCCCGGAGCUCAACUCCGGAACUGCCUUUGAUACUGGUAAUCUAGAGAUCGGAAGAGGUUAGUGGAAUUCCCAGUGUAGAGGUGAAAUUCGUAGAUAUUGGGAAGAACACCAGUGGCGAAGGCGGCUAACUGGUCCGAUACUGACGCUGAGGCGCGAAAGCGUGGGGAGCAAACAGG